rnacentral:misc_RNA from 1 species
UUUGCUUUAGACUUCAAUACAUAAAAAUAACAUUAAUAAAAAUAGGAAGCUAAUGUAAUUAUCCACCGUGGUGCUACCAUUUAAUUCAAUAUUUAAGUCUAAAGCAAACUACUAAGAGGGGAACAAAUAACAUGAAAAAUAUUACAGAAUCAUAUUCUUGUAGAAGGGGUUGGAACAAAGCAUCAAAGCCAGCAAAUAUCAAAAAUCUUAGUGCUCUAAACUGCUCUAUAUUCUAAUAGCAGUUGGCUUUUUUUUUUUUUU